GUGUCCUUGACGCGUGUAUCUCAGUGAAUUAAUACCAUCAAAGUGCAUUACUAUUGGAACUCCAAUUUUUUUUUAUUAUCCUCAUUCUUAUCAGUUUACAUCAGCUCCAUAUUCAUAUUGAAUUUCGAUGUGUAUCUCGUCUUUUUCCAGAUCCAGGCACCAAUUUUGAUUAUACACAAGGUGGGCUCAUUACAGAGGCCAACAACGAAACGAUAAUAAGGCAUGGAUCUGAACAAAAAGUGUUUCGAAGGAGCGAGGGCGGAACGACUUCUAAAACCAUACUCAGAAUUAGAAACAAGGUGUCAGCUGUAGUAGAACUCCGAGAUGCCAUCCAGGUUUUUCAUCGGAAUGUAAAUUCUAAGAACUUCAAGUACAUCAAUGCAUCAAA